rnacentral:rRNA from 1 species
CACGCCGUAAACGAUGAGUGCUAGGUGUUGGGGGUCAAACCUCGGUGCCGCAGUUAACACAUUAAGCACUCCGCCUGGGGAGUACGUGCGCAAGCAUGAAACUCAAAGGAAUUGACGGGGACCCGCACAAGCAGCGGAGCAUGUGGUUUAAUUCGAUGCAACGCGAAGAACCUUACCAGGGCUUGACAUGUGGGUGAAAGCUGUAGAGAUACAGCCCUCUCUUCGGAGACAUCCAUACAGGUGG